AUUGAACGCUGGCGGCAGGCUUAACACAUGCAAGUCGAGCGGGGAAGUAUAGCUUGCUAUACGACCUAGCGGCGGACGGGUGAGUAAUGCUUAGGAAUCUGCCUAUUAGUGGGGGACAACAUUCCGAAAGGAAUGCUAAUACCGCAUACGCCCUACGGGGGAAAGCAGGGGAUCUUCGGACCUUGCGCUAAUAGAUGAGCCUAAGUCAGAUUAGCGAGUUGGUGGGGUAAAGGCCUACCAAGGCGACGAUCUGUAGCGGGUCUGAGAGGAUGAUCCGCCACACUGGGACUGAGACACGGCCCAGACUCCUACGGGAGGCAGCAGUGGGGAAUAUUGGACAAUGGGCGAAAGCCUGAUCCAGCCAUGCCGCGUGUGUGAAGAAGGCCUUUUAGUUGUAAAGCACUUUAAGCGAGGAGGAGGCUACUUAGAUUAAUACUCUAGGAUAGUGGACGUUACUCGCAGAAUAAGCACCGGCUAACUCUGUGCCAGCCGCCGCGGUAAAAC
rnacentral:rRNA from 1 species